rnacentral:rRNA from 1 species
UACGAAGGGUGCAAGCGUUACUCGGAAUUACUGGGCGUAAAGCGUGCGUAGGUGGUUUGUUAAGUCAGAGGUGAAAUCCCAGAGCUCAACUCUGGAACUGCCUUUGAAACUGGUGACCUUGAGUACGGGAGAGGUGAGUGGAAUUCCCAGUGUAGAGGUGAAAUUCGUAGAUAUUGGGAAGAACACCGGUGGCGAAGGCGGCUCACUGGCCCGUAACUGACGCUCAGGCGCGAUAGCGUGGGGAUCAAACAGG